rnacentral:rRNA from 1 species
GGCUCAGUAACACGUCGGUAACCUACCCUCGGGAGGGGGAUAACCCCGGGAAACUGGGGCUAAUCCCCCAUAGGCCUGGGGUACUGGAAGGUCCCCAGGCCGAAAGGGGCUCUGCCCGCCCGAGGAUGGGCCGGCGGCCGAUUAGGUAGUUGGUGGGGUAACGGCCCACCAAGCCGAAGAUCGGUACGGGCCAUGAGAGUGGGAGCCCGGAGAUGGACACUGAGACACGGGUCCAGGCCCUACGGGGCGCAGCAGGCGCGAAACCUCCGCAAUGCGGGCAACCGCGACGGGGGGACCCCCAGUGCCGUGGCAAAGCCACGGCUUUUCCGGAGUGUAAAAAGCUCCGGGAAUAAGGGCUGGGCAAGGCCGGUGGCAGCCGCCGCGGUAAUACCGGCGGCCCAAGUGGUGGCCGCUAUUAUUGGGCCUAAAGCGUCCGUAGCCGGGCCCGUAAGUCCCUGGCGAAAUCCCACGGCUCAACCGUGGGGCUUGCUGGGGAUACUGCGGGCCUUGGGACCGGGAGAGGCGGGGGGUACCCCUGGGGUAGGGGUGAAAUCCUAUAAUCCCAGGGGGACCGCCAGUGGCGAAGGCGCCCCGCUGGAACGGGUCCGACGGUGAGGGACGAAGGCCAGGGGAGCGAACCGGAUUAGAUACCCGGGUAGUCCUGGCUGUAAAGGAUGCGGGC